rnacentral:rRNA from 1 species
UUCUGAGUAUAAAUUUUUUGAUGCUAGAGGAUUACGAGCUGUACGCUUAAAACUCAAAAUACUUGGCGGUGCUGCUAGUCUGCUUAGGGGAGCUUGCUUCAUAAACGAUAGUCCACGUAAAACCUUACCUGAGCUAGCUUAGUUUAUAUACCGUCGUCGGCAGUUAACUUUUGAGAAAAGAGAAGUUGGCUUUAGAAUUACAGUAAUUUUUGACGUCAGAUCGAGGUGUAGCUGAUGCUGAAGGAGAGAGUGAGCUACAGUUAAAAUUUAUAAAGACGGAGCCGUGGCUGAAAUGCCAGUGUGUGAAGGUGGACUUAAAAGUAAUUAAAUAUAUAUAAAUUUGUUGAAGUUAGUUCUGAAGUGUGUACAUAUCGCCCGUCGCUCUCGUUGAAAAAUGAGAUAAGUCGUAACAUAGUAGGGAUAACGGAAGUUGUUCCUGG